UACCCUGAGUAAAGUGGCGUACGGGUGAGUAACACGUGGGUAAUCCACCCUUUAGUGGGGAAUAACCCUGGGAAACCGGGGCUAAUACCGCAUAAGCCUGAGAAGGGAAAGCAGCAAUGCGCUGAAGGAGGAGCCCGCGGCCGAUUAGCUAGUUGGUGAGGUAACGGCCCACCAAGGCGAUGAUCGGUAGCCGGCCUGAGAGGGCACACGGCCACACUGGCACUGAAACACGGGCCAG
rnacentral:rRNA from 1 species